GUGAAGGCGGGUGCCGUGCGUGUGGCAUGAUGGUGAAGAGCUCCGUUUCUACCCACAAAUAAACAUUACAGAAGCAACGCCGUGACAUGUUGGUGGUAGUUGAUCAGAGACUUCCUCGAGCUGGCCUGGAUAAAGACCCCUGAAGCACUUUGGUUUCCUCCCGCAUUCCAAAGGUGUAUAACCCAGUGCAACCUGAUGCCCCUUCUAAAUCGGAAGAAGUCCAGCACGGCUAUCAGCUCUGAACUCACAGAAACCACUGGAACCCAAGUACAGCCCUCUAUAGUCCGGACAAAUCUUGUCAGAAGUGGUCUUCGUGGAAGAGUUGCUGCCUAAAAACCAUUCUUCCAAAGUGGAAACAAAGUCAGAGACUCGCCUAUGCAUAAAAACACAAGAAGCAGGGUACUAAACAAUGCCAGCAAGUACUCUGGACUGGCGAGUCAAUAUUUGACAUUUUUGGCUCAAGCAGGAGGCAAUUUGUCCUAAGAAGAGCUGGAGAGUGCUCCAUGGAUGAGUGUCUGCAGCCAACAAUGCAAUAUGGUGAAGGUUUUCUGCAGGAUUGGGGCUGCAUUUCUGUAAAUGGAGUUGGUGAUCUGGUGAGAAUUAAUGGAAUCCUCAGUGUUGAGAAGUAUAAGCAGAUUUUCAUCCAUCACACAAUACCAUCAGGCGGCAUCUGAUCAGUCCCAAUUCCAUUCUGCAGCAGGACAAUGUUCCCAAACACACGGUCAAGGUAAUAAAAAAAUUGUCUUCUCUGAAAAGAAGAAUAAGGAGUUCUGUAGAUGGUAUGGUCUCCACAGACCCCGGAUCUCAACGUCAUCGAGGCUUUCUGGGAUUACCUGAAGAGAGAGAAGCAGGCGUGACAGCCAAAGUCUGCAGAAGAACUCUGGCAAGUUUUCCAAAAAGCGUGGAACAACCUACCAGCUGAUUUUCUUACUGAACUGCUUGACAUUGUGCCUAAAAGAAUUGAUGUAGUUUUAAAGGCUAAGGAUGGCCACACCAAAUAUUGAUAUGAUUUAGUUUUUUUUAACUGUUUACUGAUCUUUAUACAGACAUUUGAAUACAUGUCUACAUUGCUGUUACUAUAGGUUCAAGAGCCACAAAUUAAUGUUGCAGCUCUAUAAAACCCUAGUUAGACCACGUGAAAUAUUGUGCUUAGUUCUGGUCACCCCGUUAUAGGAAGGGUAUUGAAGCUUUUAGCUGGCUGGUGGCGCAGUGACAUCAGUGCCGGACUCUGGAGUGAAGGUUCCCGAGUUCGAACCCAGUCGGGCCGCUACCAGGCUCGCUUUCUAUCCAUGCCAGGUUGCGUGUCAAGCUCGCAACUUGGCCUCCUAAAAAAAAACACUACACUGUGAGAAGGACAUGGGGGACCACUCACAGAAUCUUUCCUCCAAGACAACCACUUGAAAAAGUGGUCACUGAGGCUCUGGCAGAGCAUGGCACACACGAAAAAAUUGAAGCUUUAGAGAGGGUGCAGAGGAGACUUACCAGGGUGCUGCCUGGAUUAGAGGGCAUGUCUUACGAGGAUAGAGUGAGUGAGCUAGGGCUUUUCUCUUUAGAGAAAAGGAGAAUGAAAGGUGACUGGAUGGAGGUGUACACUAUAAUAAGAGGCAUAGAUUGAGUGGAUAGCCAGAGACAUUUUCCCAGGGUGGAAAUGGGUGAUACGAGGGGGCAUAAUUUUAAGCUGAUCAGAGGAAAGCAUAGGGAGAUGUCAGAGGUAUGUUCUUUACGCAGAGAAUGGUGGGUAUGUAGAACACCAGGGUGGUGGUAGAGGCAGAUACAUUAGGGGCAUUUAAGAGGCUCCAAAAUAGGCAUGUGGAUAAUUGAAAAAUGGAAGGCUAUGUGGGAGAGAAGGGUUAGGUUGAUCUCAGAGUAGGUUAAUGGGUCGACACAACAUUGUGGACUGAAGGGCCUGGGUUGGUGCUGUAAUGUUCUAUAUUUACAGUGUUCUAUGUUCUAAAUCUAUGAAAAUGUGAAAUAAGAUGAUUCACAGUUAUGUAGAUUUUUUGUGAAAUCCAAAGUGAACAUUCAUAACUAAUUCACAUCUCUGAUCCAUCAUAACAUGAAGUGUCUUUUUCUUAAAAGAUAACAUUUUUGAUUUUCCUCUUGACUUUGUUCAAUGAGUGACAGUGUUGAUAAAUUUACUGCAUGAAGCGAAUGGGACUGCAGGGGCAGCAAAAGAAAAGAGUAGAGGUCGGCCGAUUUUCUGUACAGGUGGAUAUCAGACUUGAGGUGAUGGAAUUAAUUAUUAACCAUUAUGUUUCUUAAUGUUUCUUAAUGAAUGUUUCUUAAUGCUGCAUUGUGCUGCUAGGGAUGGUGAUAGAGGCAGAUGCAUUAAGGAUAUUUAAAAGGUCCUUAGACAGGCAUGUGGGGACGGGUGAGUCUGGGCUGGACGUCCUGCUCACUUAAGGAAGGUGAAGUCUCUCCUUUCCAGGUGUAGUGACCGCUGCAGGACCACUGUUUGGCUUGCCACUCACUCAUAUAUGGCCUCUCCUACACUGCUGCAUCCAUAGCAACGCCUUCACAUGGCGUCCCUGUUCUUACUGAGUUUGCUAUGUCAUGGCGUGACCGAGUGUCCAGCGGUAUAGCUGGGCGGGCAGGCUGAGUCAUCAGUCUUGGUUGGCAGCCAGCCUAGGCCAACUCCAAUUCCAAACCCGGGUAGGUGGGACUCGUUAGCCUUGCCAGACAGCCUGUCUAGGAGAUGGAAAACUCCGAUUCCAAACCCGGGUAGAUGGGACUUCUUAGCCUUCCCAGAGAGUCUGUCUAGGAGAAGGAAAACUCCAAUACUCAGCCUACAACCUUGUGGUCUCCACAGUCAUCACAGCUCACUGUUCCAUUGUGGAAUGUCCCCCGGCCCAAAGAGUGGAAUCGGUCCGCGUGCACUGAUCCUCACUGUAAACCUACUCAGUGCAGCGAGAAGAAAAAUCCUACAGCAAUGGUAUUUUCCCUCCUGAUCUUUGCAGUCGAAGGACCAGCCAUCAUUAUCAUCAUCAGAGAGGCAUGUGGAUGGAAAACAAAGUGAAGGGCUAUGUGGGAGAGAAGGGUGAGAUUGAUCUUGGAGUAGGUUAAGGGGUUGGCAUGAUAUCAUGGACUGAAGGGCUUGAACUGUGUU